rnacentral:rRNA from 1 species
GCGAAAAGAACCCCGGCGAGGGGAGUGAAAAAGAACCUGAAACCGUGUACGUACAAGCAGUGGGAGCCUCUUAAUGGGGUGACUGCGUACCUUUUGUAUAAUGGGUCAGCGACUUAUAUUCUGUAGCAAGGUUAACCGAAUAGGGGAGCCGAAGGGAAACCGAGUCUUAACUGGGCGUUAAGUUGCAGGGUAUAGACCCGAAACCCGGUGAUCUAGCCAUGGGCAGGUUGAAGGUUGGGUAACACUAACUGGAGGACCGAACCGACUAAUGUUGAAAAAUUAGCGGAUGACUUGUGGCUGGGGGUGAAAGGCCAAUCAAACCGGGAGAUAGCUGGUUCUCCCCGAAAGCUAUUUAGGUAGCGCCUCGUGAAUUCAUCUCCGGGGGUAGAGCACUGUUUCGGCAAGGGGGUCAUCCCGACUUACCAACCCGAUGCAAACUGCGAAUACCGGAGAAUGUUAUCACGGGAGACACACGGCGGGUGCUAACGUCCGUCGUGAAGAGGGAAACAACCCAGACCGCCAGCUAAGGUCCCAAAGUCAUGGUUAAGUGGGAAACGAUGUGGGAAGGCCCAGACAGCCAGGAUGUUGGCUUAGAAGCAGCCAUCAUUUAAAGAAAGCGUAAUAGCUCACUGGUCGAGUCGGCCUGCGCGGAAGAUGUAACGGGGCUAAACCAUGCACCGAAGCUGCGGCAGCGACACUAUGUGUUGUUGGGUA